CCCAUUUGGACCAACUUGAAAACUAGGCCAAUAAUUAAAAAUCUAAGUACAUUUUUAAAUUCAGUAUAUCAAAGAACCCCAAGGAUUCAAUUUUUGUUAAAAUCAAACUAAGUUUAAUUUUGGACCCUUUGGACCUUAAUGUAGACCAAUUUGAAAACGGACCAAAAAAUUAAGAAUCUACAUACAUAGUUAGAUUCGGCAUAUCAAAGAACCCCAAUUAUUCAAUUUUUGAUGAAAUCACACAAAGUUCAAUUUUGGACCCUUUGGGCCCCUUAUUCCUAAACUGUUAGGACCAAAACUCCCAAAAUCAAACCCAACCUUCCUUUUAUGGUCAUAAACCUUGUGCUUAAAUUUCAUAGAUUUCUAUUUACUUAUACUAAAGUUAUGGUGCAAAAACCAAAAAUAAUGCUUAUUUGGGCCCCUUUUUGGCCCUUAAUUCAUAAACUGUUGUGACCUCAACUCCAAAAAUCAAUCCCAACCUUCCUUUUGUGGUCAUGAACAUUGUGUUUAAAUUUCAUUGAUUUCUAUUUACUUAAACUAAAGUAAUUGUGCGAAAACCAAGAAUAAUGCUUAUUUGGGCCCUUUUUUGGCCCUUAAUUCAUAAACUGUUGUGACCUCAACUCCAAAAAUCAAUCCCAACCUUCCUUUUGUGGUCAUGAACAUUGUGUUUAAAUUUCAUUGAUUUCUAUUUACUUAAACUAAAGUAAUUGUGCGAAAACCAAGAAUAAUGCUUAUUUGGGCCCUUUUUUGGCCCCUAAUUCCUAAACUGUUGGAACCAAAACUCCCAAAAUCAAUCCCAACCUUUCUUUUGUGGUCAUAAACCUUGUGUCAAAAUUUCAUAGAUUUCUAUUAACUUAAACUAAAGUUAUAGUGCGAAAACCAAGAAAAUGCUUAUUUGGGCCCUUUUUGGCCCCUAAUUCCUAAAAUGUUGGGACCAAAACUCCCAAAAUCAAUCCCAACCUUCCUUUUGUGGUCAUAAACCUUGCGUUAAAAUUUCAUAGAUUUUCAUUCACUUUUACUAAAGUUAGAGUGCGAAAACUAAAAGUAUUCGGACGACGACGACGC
rnacentral:lncRNA from 1 species